rnacentral:rRNA from 1 species
AGAGUUUGAUCCUGGCUCAGAUUGAACGCUGGCGGCAUGCCUUACACAUGCAAGUCGAACGGCAGCGCGGGCUUCGGCCUGGCGGCGAGUGGCGAACGGGUGAGUAAUACAUCGGAACGUGCCCUGUCGUGGGGGAUAACUAGUCGAAAGAUUAGCUAAUACCGCAUACGACCUGAGGGUGAAAGCGGGGGACCGCAAGGCCUCGCGCGACAGGAGCGGCCGAUGUCUGAUUAGCUAGUUGGUGGGGUAAGAGCCUACCAAGGCGACGAUCAGUAGCUGGUCUGAGAGGACGAUCAGCCACACUGGGACUGAGACACGGCCCAGACUCCUACGGGAGGCAGCAGUGGGGAAUUUUGGACAAUGGGGGCAACCCUGAUCCAGCAAUGCCGCGUGUGUGAAGAAGGCCUUCGGGUUGUAAAGCACUUUUGUCCGGAAAGAAAACGCGCUGGUUAAUACCUGGCGUGGAUGACGGUACCGGAAGAAUAAGCACCGGCUAACUACGUGCCAGCAGCCGCGGUAAUACGUAGGGUGCGAGCGUUAAUCGGAAUUACUGGGCGUAAAGCGUGCGCAGGCGGUUUGGUAAGACAGGCGUGAAAUCCCCGAGCUCAACUUGGGAAUGGCGCUUGUGACUGUCAGGCUAGAGUAUGUCAGAGGGGGGUAGAAUUCC